UGUUCAGUGUAUAUAUAUAUAUAUAUAUAUAUAUAUAUACUGAACAAAAUUAUAAACGCAACACUUUUGUUUUUGCCCCCAUUUGGGGGCAAAAACAAAAGUGUUGCGUUUAUAAUU